ensembl:lncRNA
GGAGGGGGCGGCACAGUUCGUGAGAGUCAGACUGCCUCAGAGGAGAGAGUUGGCUGACUAGGGGAAAGGUCCCCACAGGAAUUAAAGCCCAUCUUCCCAGCCCAGCAAGCCCCAGGGGAGCUGAGGGGGAGCCGCUUCCUGGCCCUGAGAAACAGGACCAUCCUGUAACUGUGAGCCUGACUCAGGACUGGGACCCAGCCCCGAGCCUCGGGCUUCUGAACGGUUUCUUUCCCAGUGCCCAGUAUGGUGAUGUAGCCACCCAUCGGUGAAGCGCCUCAAGAGGCAAAGAACCACGAGGAGG